rnacentral:lncRNA from 1 species
GUUAAGAAAAUGUGCCAAGAUUACCUCAGUAAUUCUGGUCUGUGUUCUCAGGAGACCCUGGAAAUAAACAAUGUGUCUUCUGUGGCUUCAGCGUCACCUAGUGCAGGCUGCCAUUCAACAAACGCAUUGUCAACAGUCAACCAAAAGAAACCCAUUGGCCACCAUACCCUGAGGACUAACCCUGACACAGAUGCCCUUCCAGAUGCCCUCAGUAGUCUAACUGAUUCCAUCGCCCCAGCCUUGGGGGAGAAGCACUGCUGCCUAUGCACUCCAUUUACAGGUGAACUGUCACCCCUACAACUCAGCUUGCAACCAGCCCUGGCCACCACCAGUUUCCCCACACUGAGCUGAAUAUUGGACAUGCCCAUCUUAGACAUUCCAGCCCAUUCUGAAAUUCCACAUCGAUUCACCCGACAAAGUCUGAAGUUCCAGGGCAAUUUAUCUGGAAAAGCUCACCUGGAAUCAUGUGUCAUUUCAACCAACAACUGUCGAAGAGGACGUGGCAUCAAAACCAAGGUUAUCAAUUAUUUAUAAGGGUUGUGUGGUGGUUGGUCCAAGCAUCUCUCCUUCAUGCCAUCACUCCUUUCAAGAGCUGCCUCUAUUUUCUAAUUUAGCACAGGAAUUUAGAUGCCCCUAAAUAAGUAGGCAUCCAGUAUCUGCCCACACCAGUUUUAGUGAGAGUACAUAUGGAGACACUGCCACCACCCCUGCUCUCCUACUGCAUACCCCACCAUGCCAAAGCAUGGUGGCUCACACCUGUAAUCCCAGUGCUUUGGGAGGCCAAAGAGGAGGAACACUUGAGGCCAGAAGUAUGAGACCAGCCUGGGCAACAUAGUGAGACCUCAUUUCUAUAAAUAAGUUAAAAAAACAAAAAAAUAGGGCACAGUGGUGCACAUGUGUGGUCCCAGUUACUCAGCAGGCUGAGGCUGGAAGAUCACUUGAGCCCAGGAGUUUGAGGCUGCAGUGAGCUAGGAUUAUGCCACUGCACUCUAGCCUGGGCAACAGAGAGAGACCCCAUCUCUAAAAAGAGGGAGAAGAAGGAAGGAGGAGGAAGAAGAGGAAGAGGAGGAGGAGAAAUACUGCUCUUUCUCAGGCCCAAGGUAAAAAGGUUUUUGGUCUCAUGUUGACCAGAAAGACAUUGAUAUUUAAUUAAGCAAUAUAAAAAGGCUCAUUGUUAGGAUUAAAGAGUAAGUAAAAUCAAUAUUGAGAUAGGAGGAUGGAGGACACCAACUGAGUUCCGAUCCCAAUGAAGAGGAGAAAAAGCUACAACUAUCUAGGUGAAAUAUCUACUUAUCCUAGAAGAAGCCUUUUGACAGCAACAUAAAAUUCAUACCUAUAGGUUUUUAAUUCCUAUGGAUGCCGUAGCAAAUAACAAAAACUUGGAUGGUGUAAAGUAACAGAUGUUUACUCUUUUCCAGUAUUGGAGACCAGGAAUCUGAGAUCAAGGUGUGGGCAGGGGUGCGCUCCCCCUGGAGGUUCUAGGAGAGGAUCCUUCCUGCCUCUUCCAGCUCCUGGUGGCUCCAGGUGUCCCUGGGCUUGUGGCCACAUCACUACAUUCUCUGCCUCCAUCUCCACGUGACCUUUUCCUCUGUGUCUGUGUCUCCUCUUCUGUCUCUUAGAAGGACACUGGUCAUUGGAUUUAAAGGCCACCUGGGUAAUUUAUAGUGAUCUAAUCUCAAGAAUCUUUCCUUAAUUACAUGCAAAUACUCUUUAUCCAAAUUAGUUUGCAUUCACAAAUUCUGGAGCUUAGUACUUGGACAUAUAUUUUGGGGGGUUGAUGGUUGGAGGGGCUUUUAUUCAACUCAGUACAUCUUAAUAAGGAAUUAAUGCCCCCCAACUUGCCUUACAAGUCAUAUAUUAAAAACAAUGUUGGCCUGGCACAGUGGCUCAUGCCUGUAAUCUCAACACUUUGGGAAGCCAAGGGAGGAGGAUCACUUGAGCCCAGGAGUUGGAGACCAGCCUGGAUAACAAAGGGAGACCCAGUUUCUACAAAAUAUUUAAAAAUUAGCCAGGCAUGAUGGUGCAUGCCUGUGGUCCUAGCUAUUCAGGAAACUGAGGUGGGAGGAUCACUUGAGCCUGGAAGUUCAAGACAGCAGUGAGCUAUGCUCACACCACUGCACUCCAUCCUGGGCAACAGAGCUGGACUCUGUCUCAAAAAACAUAACACUAAAACAUCAAAAUUAAAAAAAAAAAA